UUUUGCAUGGGGUAGGCUGCAGGAAGAAGUACAGAGUGUGUGGUGGAGAGUGAAGAAGAAAAGGACAGAGAAACUCAAACGUCGAAGGGAUGGGCCCUCUUCGUCAUCAAUGCCGUUGUUUCAGCAUCACCUACCUUCCUAAGCCGAGUCGACUCCGCUCUCUCUCUCUCUCUUUCAUCUCUGCUAUUGUCAAGUUCUCCACCAACUGCAAGUGUUUUCUCAUCUAUCUACAGUUUUUUUUGUAUUUAUUAAUUCAGCUAAUAUCUGCUCUGCUGUGACUCGUUCUCUCUCUAUAAGUAUGAAAUAUCUGUGCUGUGUUGCCAGGGGCUAGAGUUGAGUAAGCCACUGUCAAAGAAUCCGUAGAUCUCUCUCCGUCUAUUUGAGUUUCACAAGGAGUAAUGGCAGAUGAGGGAGCCGCUGAAGUCACUGCUCCAGUUCGUCGUGUUCUUCUCAUUUCCGCUGGUGCUUCUCAUUCCGUCGCUCUCCUCUCUGCAAACAUUGUUUGUUCUUGGGGACGUGGAGAAGAUGGGCAGUUAGGCCAUGGUGAUGCUGAGGAUCGACUUUCUCCGACACAAUUGAGUACAUUGGAUGGUCUUGAAAUUGUUUCUGUUAUUUGUGGUGCUGAUCAUACAAUUGCAUAUUCUGAGUCACAUGCGAAUGUUUAUAGUUGGGGAUGGGGAGAUUUUGGUAGGUUGGGCCAUGGAAAUUCCAGUGAUUUAUUCACUCCUCAACCAAUUGGAGCAUUACAUGGUUUAAGGAUAAAACAAAUUGCUUGUGGGGACAGCCAUUGUUUGGCAGUGACAAUGGAAGGCCAGGUGCAGAGUUGGGGGCGAAAUCAAAAUGGCCAGCUUGGUCUUGGGACCACUGAAGAUUCUCUUGUGCCUCAGAAAAUUCAAGCCUUCCAGGGAAUCCCAAUUAAAAUGGUCGCAGCUGGUGCUGAACAUACUGCAGCUGUUGCAGAAGGUGGAGAGCUUUAUGGAUGGGGUUGGGGCCGAUAUGGGAAUUUGGGCUUGGGUGACAGAAAGGAUCGAUUGGUGCCUGAGAAAGUUUCUCUCCCUCAUGGAGAGAAGAUGGUUAUGGUUGCUUGUGGAUGGCGGCAUACAAUAUCUGUUUCCUCUUCUGGUGGAUUAUACACAUAUGGAUGGAGUAAAUAUGGUCAGUUAGGACAUGGGGAUUUCGCCGAUCACCUCAUUCCGCAUCAACUGGAAGCAUUGCGGGAUAGUUUUAUAUCUCAGAUAUCAGGCGGUUGGAGACACACUAUGGCAGUGACAUCUGAUGGAAGACUGUAUGGCUGGGGAUGGAAUAAGUUUGGACAGGUCGGAGUUGGUGACAAUGUGGACCAUUGUUCUCCUGUGCAAGUUAAAUUUCCUAAUGAGCAGGCAUAUUCUGUUACUGUAGCUCCAAAUUAGAUAGCUCAUGACUUUGAUAUUUCAAUUCAGCAUGGAUCUUUCUUCUUUUUGGUUUCUUAUUUGAGAAGGUUCUCCAUCUGAUAUUUCAGUUUUAUGUGCAUACUUAUGUUGCAUUUGUAGAAAGUGAUUCAGAUCGCAUGUGGAUGGAGGCACACACUUGCUGUUACGGAACAGCAAAAUGUAUUUUCUUGGGGAAGAGGUACAAAUGGACAGCUUGGCCAUGGAGAGUCUGUUGACCGGAACGUACCGAUGAUGAUAGAAGCUUUAAGUGUUGAUGGAUCUGGUUGCCAGCAGAUAGAAUCCUCAACGGUUGAUUUGUCAUCAGGGAAAGCCUGGGUGUCACCAUCAGAAAGAUAUGCUGUCGUUCCUGAUGAAUCGGGGCAAACCGGUGGUUCAGGCAAUGGGAAUGAUGCAAGUGUUCCGGAGGGUGAUGUUAAGCGGAUCCGAAUUUGAUCCCAAUUGCCAAGACUGAAUGUAAAUUCCUACUGCGUCCAGACUGUCUUUUGCUCUUGUUAACUAACAUUGUGUUGGUUUUUUUUUUUUUUUGG
rnacentral:misc_RNA from 1 species